rnacentral:rRNA from 1 species
UGAAUAUGCUCAGGCGCUUGAGAGAACUCAGGAGAAGGAACUCGGCAAAUUGACACCGUAACUUCGGGAUAAGGUGUGCCUUUGUAGCGUGGAGGGAGAAACACCCCGAGCGCGAAGAGGUCUCAGAUAAUCGGUGGCUGCGACUGUUUAUUAAAAACACAGCACUCUGCAAAGACGAAAGUCGACGUAUAGGGUGUGAUGCCUGCCCGGUGCUGGAAGAUUAAUUGAUGGGGUGCAAGCUCCUGAUCGAAGUCCCAGUAAACGGCGGCCGUAACUAUAACGGUCCUAAGGUAGCGAAAUUCCUUGUCGGGCAAGUUCCGACCUGCACGAAUGGCAUAACGAUGGCCACACUGUCUCCUCCUGAGACUCAGUGAAGUUGAAGUGUUUGUGAUGAUGCAAUCUCCCCGCGGCUAGACGGAAAGACCCCAUGAACCUUUACUGUAGCUUUGCAUUGGACUUUGAACCGAUCUGUGUAGGAUAGGCGGGAGCCUGUGAAACCACAACGCCAGUUGUGGCGGAGGCGUCCUUGAAAUACCGCCCUGAUUUGUUUGAGGUUCUAACCUGGGACAGUCAUCCUGUCCGGGGACCGUGCAUGGUAGGCAGUUUGACUGGGGCGGUCUCCUCCUAAAGGGUAACGGAGGAGUGCGAAGGUACGCUAGGUACGGUCGGAAAUCGUGCUGAUAGUGCAAUGGCAAAAGCGUGCUUGACUGCGAGACCCACAAGUCGAGCAGAUACGAAAGUAGGUCAUAGUGAUCCGGUGGCUCUGUAUGGAAGGGCCAUCGCUCAACGGAUAAAAGGUACUCUGGGGAUAACAGGCUGAUACCGCCCAAGAGUUCAUAUCGACGGCGGUGUUUGGCACCUCGAUGUCGGCUCAUCUCAUCCUGGGGCUGUAGCCGGUCCCAAGGGUAUGGCUGUUCGCCAUUUAAAGAGGUACGUGAGCUGGGUUUAAAACGUCGUGAGACAGUUUUGUCCCUAUCUGCCGUGGGCGCUGGAAGAUUGACGGGGGCUGCUCCUAGUACGAGAGGACCGGAGUGGACUCACCUCUGGUGUACCGGUUGUCACGCCAGUGGCAUCGCCGGGUAGCUAUGUGGGGAAGAGAUAACCGCUGAAAGCAUCUAAGCGGGAAACUUGCCUGAAGAUAAGUCUUCCUGGAGGCUAGACCUCCCUAAAGAGUCGUUCGAGACCAGGACGUUGAUAGGAUGGGUGUGUAAGUGCUGUGAGGCACUCAGCUAACCAUUACUAAUUGCUCGUGAAGCUUGAUCCU